rnacentral:lncRNA from 1 species
AUGGAAUGAAGGUUUUCAUCGGAUAAAAGAAUUUGAACACCAUUAAUAUUUGUCACAAGCUCACCAUCAUCAUACUCAUGAAGGUUUGAAUAAAACGCUUGAAUCAAUGGAGGAUUAAUAUAAGGGUAGGUAAGAUAUAAAAAGUCAAGAAAUUAACAUUCUUUGAGCAUGUUGGCAGCAGGGGCGUAUGAUUCAAGAUACUUGCUUGUUGAAAAGCGGGGAGGAAGAAUGUCGCGCUUUUCAAAUUUUGUCAAAAACCGAGUAAGCUCGGUGUC